CAGAGUUUUUUCAUAAAUCUUCAUCUUCCUCUUCGUCUUCAUGGCUUCACUCCUGCAGGAACAGAAACACGUAUUCUGGGUUAAAACGGGACACAACGAUUCCUCUCAGCAAGUAUGGAAAGUCUAAACAUAAAGACAUCAUUAGAGACACACUGCAGAGAUGAAAAAAUGCUGGAAUCAGAAUAUGUUCCAGUGGAUUUGGCCUUUUAAAGAUUGGUGAUCAGCCAGAAAACUGCAGCUCUGCACCGCCAGUUCAGGAUCACAGAGAGGAGAA